rnacentral:lncRNA from 1 species
GACGACUUUAAUAAUAGAAACUAAUGGAGAUUUACAAGGCUUUAUGGUUCCCCUUAUGCACAAGAUAAGGAUAAAUCAUAGAACCUAUUAAAAAACCUAUUGAGUAAUGAAGACCUCCCCUAGUUUGUUUGUGAAGAUUUUAAUGAAAUCAUGUAUAGUUUUGAAAAAAAUGGAGUUACCUAGAGAUGAAAGAAGAAUAGAAGUUUUUCGUAAUGUUCUAAAAGAUUGUCGCUUGAUGGAUGUGGGCUAUUCUGGUAAUGGGUUUACUUGGGAAAGGGGGAAUUUACCAGAAACAAUUAUUCAAGAGCGUUUGGACAGAGGCAUGGCCAAUAAGAAUUGGAUGUUUAUGUUUCCUAAAGCCUCCAUUCAACUUUUGGUGCACUUGAUCUCUGAUCAUUGUCUUCUUCUAAUCACUACGAAAAAAGAAGAUAAUAGGAGUUGGAAAACUUUUAAAUUUGAAGCAUGGUGGGUCUUGAAGGAGUCAUUCGAAGACAAAAUUAAACUUAUUUGAGAAACAACAUCAGGAGAUCUUUUACAAAAGGUAGAUUACCUUAGAAAGGGCUUGGAGAGAUGGGCUGUACGCAUCUGUCAAUCUAGAAAACAAAAAAAAAAUUCUUGACUUCAAAGCUGUCUGAAUUAAUGGAAGCUGAAAGGAAUGAUAAUAAUUUAGCAGAGCUAAUUGACACAAAGUUGCAAUUGAAUUUUGAGAUUGAAAAGGAUGAAAGAUAUUGAGAGUAAAGAGCUAGAGUAAAUUGGCUGAAAUUCGAGGAUAGGAAUACAGCUUUUUUUAUAGUCAAGCAACACAGAAACGAAAAAAAAUUGUAUUCAGAAAUUACAAAAUACGAAUGGUAGAGAGAUGAUACGCAAGAAAUGGCAGAAAUCGCUAAAUCUUAUUUUCAAGAUUUAUUUAAGACUGGUGAAAAGGGUCAUUAUGAAUAUCUCUUAACAGGUGUUGAACGGUGUAUUUCUGAAGAGGAUAAUCAAUGGCUCACAACGCAAUAUACAAAGGAAGAGGUUUGGGAGGUGUUAACUAGUAAGGGUGCUACAAAAGCACCAGGUGAAGAUGGAUUUCCGGCCUUAUUUUUUCAAAGAUGCAUAUUAUCGGGGAGGAGGUUUCAAUUUUCUACUUCACCAUUUGAACGGAGGCAUGGAGGUUAGUCUAAUUAAUACUACGCAUAUUAUGCUUAUUCUUAAAAAAGUAAACCCGACCAACCUCUCAUUUUCGUCCCAUUAGCUUAUGCAAUGUUAUUUAUAAAAUAAUGGCAAAGGCUAUUGCUAAUCGUUUUAGAGGAGUUUUGAAGAAGUGCAUUGACGAUGCACAGAGUGCUUUUGUGCUAGGAAUGUUAAUUUCGGAUAAUGUAUUACUAGCAUACGAAAUUUUACACACCCUAAAAAGGAAAAAAAAAAAAAAAAGGGAUUGAUGGCGGUUAAAUUGAAUAUGAGUAAAGUAUAUGAUAGAGUCGAAUGGACUUCUGUACAGGAGAUGAUGGGAAUAAUGGAUUCUGACCCUAAUUGGAUCGAUUCUAUAAUGAAAUGCGUAUCUACUGUUUCCUAUUUAGUGGUACUUAAUGGGCAGGCUGGGGAUAUUUUUCAUCUGACGAGAGGGUUACGACAAGGUGAUCCUUUGAGUCCGUUUUUAUUUUUGAUUUGCGAAGAAAGCUUAUCUUGCCUUAUGAGAUGGCACUUCGAGAAGAGCAUUUAAAAGGGGUUAAGGCGAGCAGAAGAUGGCCAUAGGUAUCAUAUUUUUUAUUUACAGAUGAUUGCAUUUUGUUUGGAGAGGCUACGAAAAUGGGAGUUGGUUUCUUAAAAAAAAUUUUGCGCGAGUAUGGAAACUGUUCAGGUCAACAGGUCAACACCUGGGACGAAGAAAAAAUAUUAGUUACCCGUAUACUCGGCGUAUGAAGUUCAAAUGAGCCAGAACGUUAUCUUGGUUUACCUAAUAUGGUAGGCAUAAGGAAAAAAAGAGGCUUUUCAAAACUUAAAAGACAGAUUGAAGCAGAGAAUCGACAACUCUCUCAACGUGGGAAAGAAGUUUUUAUUAAAGCUAUUCUUUAAGCUAUCCUGACGUAUACAAUGGCAUUUUUUUUACUUCCUAAAUCUCUAUAUGUUGAUCUUGAGAGUAUUAUUGCAAAAUUCUUAUGGUAGAAGGAUCGAGGUAAAAGGGGUAUUCAUUGGUGUGCUUGGAAGGAUCUAUGUACCGCAAAAGAAAAGGGUGGUUUGGGAUUUCAAAGUCUUGAUCAAUUUAAUAUUUCUUUGUUAGCCAAACAAGGUUGGCGACUUAUUAAUUUCCAAAAUUCAUUAUUAGCAAAAGCCUUAAAAGCUAAAUAUUAUCCAAAUUCAGAUUUCAUCCAUGCACAGUUAGGGAAUUGACCUUCUCUUACCUAGAAGAGCAUUUGGGCAGCAAAAGGGUUACCGAAAGAUGGCUUAUGUUGGUGAGUCAAUAAAGGUAACCAAAUUUAUAUUUUGAAUGAUCAAUGGAUUCCAGGCGUUGACAUUGAUAGGAGCAAUGAUAGCACCAACAAUAUAGAAAUUGAGUUAGUUUCGGACUUAAUUGAUGCAUCAACAAGAAAGUAGAAAGCUGAUCUAAUUGAUAAUACCUUUCCAGAGAACACGGCACAGAAGAUUCUGCAAAUUCCUUUGGCGAAAGAACAUAAUGAUUUUCAAGUCUGGUGAGGAGAACAUUCUAGCGAAUUUUCAGUCAGAAGUGCCUAUAAACUAUUACAAGAGGCAAAUAUGGGUCCUAGUGCUUAUUUAAUACAGACCGAAACAAAAAAUUUAUAUAGAAAACUAUGGAAUUUACAUCUCCCAUCAAAAAUUGCCAUCACUAUUUGGCGUCUAUCAUGGAACUUUAUUCCUACUUUAAAAAAUUUAAUACUAAAAAGUGUGGCUUCAGAUAUCUCCUGCCCUCGGUGUCGAAAUGCAGAAGAAGAUAGCAACCAUGUGUUUAGACAAUGCCUUACAGCAACAGAAACAUGGCAGAAUCUUUACCUCUCAUGGGUCUUAAAUUAUACUAUUCAAGAUCUGUGGGAAUGGCUUACCUGGGUUUUCACCAUGGGUAACAGUAAACAAUGUCGCCUCUUUUGCUGUGCUGCAUGAAUGAUUUGGAGUUCCAGAAACCAGUUUGUUCAUGAGGGGAAAAUAACAAGAAGAAGAGAUUUAUCAAAUAGAGCCUAGAGUUAUAUAGCAGAAAUCGAUGGAUAGGAAGAAAAACCACUUACCUUAGGUGAUAAUAGAAGACAGAGAUAGAUUGCAAGAAAUGCGAGAGUAACCAUUUAUUUUGAUGCGACAUUCGACAGUAAAUACUCAAGAUCGGCUUCAGGUCUGGUGGUGUGGGGGGAAAUGGGUGAGUUUCUUGCCUCAAAAACAAUACUCCACUCCGCAAUAUCAUUUCCGUUCAUGACGGAGGCAUAUGCAGGAUUACAAGCAAUGAAGUUAGGGAUCUCACUGGGCUUUCAAUCAAUUGAUAUAAUAGGGGACUCAAAAACAGUCAUAAAAAAUACAACUUAACAGCAACAGACAAGUCAGUUUUAGGGGCAAUCAUUUGAGAUAUUCAAAAGAAGAAACAUCUCUUCCAAGAAAUCAACUUUCAGUUUGUUAAAAGAUUAGAGAAUGGUCAUGCCCAUGAACUUGCAACAGAAGCUUUAAGAAAGGGAGAGGAAAAAUACCUGGAGGAAGCAACCUUUACUUGUCUUCAGUGCAGACGAGAUGAGAGAUGGCUGAGAAAUCUAGACUGAAGAAAAUCUAGAGGAAAUAUGAAGAGAUAAGGAUAGCAGAAAUGAAAGCUUCCUUGAAAAUAGCUAUCAUUUGAAAUGAUAGUAUGGCAACUCGGAAAGUCUGACAUUAAGUGGGUACCAACUGUUUUGACAUCAACUGGAUUUGACGUUUGGUUUUGACGUUUCCAUUUUUUUUUCUGUUUGUUAUUUGUUUUAUUGUGGGCCUCUUGUCUCCUUUUGGGCCACUUUUCUUUUAUUUGUUUUUACUUAUGGCCCAAUCCAUAGUUUUAAAUAUUUUUUAUUCAUUAUGUUAUUCGUUUUAAGAUAAACAAAAUCCAGUUGAAAUAUUCAAAAAAAAAUACAUGUAAGAUAAAUUGGAAAUAACUUUUUAAUUACAAUUUUAAAUUAAAAUAAUAAUUCUAAAAAUUAUCAAUUAAAAUAUUAUUAAGUAUUUAAUCCAAAGAUUUAUUGCCAAUAUUUUUUUUUGUAUUCUUCAUGUCCGUUUUACGAUCCAUGUUCAGGGUACAUGGGUUGUCCCUCCUAACAAUAUUAUCUCCAAGGUUCGAACCUAUGUCUCC